UUUAGUCUUUUUUGGUUAGAACAAUUAUUUUUUAGAUUACAUCAUUGGAAGUUAUGAAAAUAGUAUGUUAGUUAAUCUUACCUUUGGUAUAAUGGCUGUACUAGAAUAAUACAGAAUUGUAGUUCCCGAAAUAAGAAGAACUAUUUAUUAACCUAUUUUAGCAGAAAAAUGAGUUAUGUGGCAAUAUAACUCUAAGAUUAGUAAAUAGGAGCGAAAAACUUUCAAUUCUUAGGAUAUCUGGAAAUCUCAGAAAAGCAUAUAGUGCUGUAAAGUUAUUCAGGAAGCGAUGAGGUUUUCUGAAAAUAAUAUUCAAAAUCUGUACAAAAUGGUAUUCUCUUUAGAAUUAAAAUUAGAGAGAUUUUUACUUAAAAUUAUUAAUAUUUUAGAUAAUUUAUUAUUUAUGGGAUUUCUCCAAAUAAUUGUUUUUGGAGAAAACAAUGUAUAGAUGAGUAAUAAAUCAAUAUAUUUUUUUCAAUUUUGUUUGUAAUAAAUUAAUGAAAAUAUGUUUUGAAAUAAUUAAUAGGAACUCGGCAAAUAUGAAUUUCGACUGUUUAACAAAAACAUAGCUUUAGGAAAUAAUCUAAAGUUUUACCUGCCCAAUGUGUAAAUAUAAUGAAUGGCCGCGGUACUUUGACCGUGCUAAGGUAGCGCAAUCAAUUGGCUCUUAAUUGGGGUCAGGAAUGAAUGGAGUUUACGUGGUUCAGCUGUCUUUUAAUUAAUACGUUGAAGUUACUAUAUAAGUGAAAAAGCUUAUUAGUAGAAAAAGGACGAGAAGACCCUUAGAGUUUUUCUUAAUGUGAAUAAUAAAAUAUUGUGAUUCACAAUGGUUUUGUUGGGGCAACAUAGGAGCAGUAAUUAGAUAUAAUCUCCUGAAUUUAACUUACCGAAGUAUUAAAUUUGAAUAAACUACCUUAGGGAUAACAGCAUAAUUUUAAAAAUAAGUUUGUGACCUCGAUGUUGGACUAGGAAACUUAAAGGCUAGCCGUCUUUAGGGAAAGUUCUGUUCGAACUAUCAUUCCUACAUGAUCUGAGUUCAGACCGGCGUAAGCCAGGUCAGAUUCUAUCCUUUUAUUACAAAAAUUUAGUACGAAAGGACCAGUUUUUGGUAUAGUAAAUAUAUAUGA
rnacentral:rRNA from 1 species